UACAGAGGGUGCUAGCGUUGUUCGGAAUUAUUGGGCGUAAAGAGCUCGUAGGCGGUUUGUCGCGUCUGCUGUGAAAACCUAAGGCUCAACCUUGGGCUUGCAGUGGGUACGGGCAGACUAGAGUGCGGUAGGGGUGACUGGAAUUCCUGGUGUAGCGGUGGAAUGCGCAGAUAUCAGGAGGAACACCGAUGGCGAAGGCAGGUCACUGGGCCGCAACUGACGCUGAGGAGCGAAAGCAUGGGGAGCGAACAGG
rnacentral:rRNA from 1 species